rnacentral:rRNA from 1 species
AUUGAACGCUGGCGGCAUGCUUUACACAUGCAAGUCGAACGGUAACAGGUUAAGCUGACGAGUGGCGAACGGGUGAGUAAUGCAUCGGAACGUGCCCGAUCGUGGGGGAUAACGCAGCGAAAGCUGCGCUAAUACCGCAUACGAUCUGAGGAUGAAAGCGGGGGACCGUAAGGCCUCGCGCGAUCGGAGCGGCCGAUGUCAGAUUAGGUAGUUGGUGGGGUAAAGGCCCACCAAGCCGACGACCUGUAGCUGGUCUGAGAGGACGACCAGCCACACUGGGACUGAGACACGGCCCAGACUCCUACGGGAGGCAGCAGUGGGGAAUUUUGGACAAUGGGCGAAAGCCUGAUCCAGCAAUGCCGCGUGCAGGAAGAAGGCCUUCGGGUUGUAAACUGCUUUUGUACGGAGCGAAAAGGUCCUUUCUAAUACAAGGGGCUCAUGACGGUACCGUAAGAAUAAGCACCGGCUAACUACGUGCCAGCAGCCGCAGUAACAC